rnacentral:rRNA from 1 species
UAUAAAGCUUCAAACUGGGAUUAGAUACCCCACUAUGCUCAGCCAUAAACCAAGACGUCCAACUACAAUCAGACGUCCGCCAGGGUACUACGAGCAUCAGCUUGAAACCCAAAGGACCUGACGGUGCCUUAGAUCCCCCUAGAGGAGCCUGUUCUAGAACCGAUAACCCCCGUUAAACCUCACCACUUCUAGCCACCCCAGCCUAUAUACCGCCGUCGCCAGCUUACCCUGUGAAGGUAAUAAAAGUAAGCAAAAUGGGCACAGCCCAGAACGUCAGGUCGAGGUGUAGCGUACGAAAUGGGAAGAAAUGGGCUACAUUUUUUGCUAUCAUAACACUACGGACAUGCAACAUGAAAUAGUGCUUAAAGGAGGAUUUAGUAAUAAAAAGGAAGCAGAGUGUCCUUUUGAACCCGGCUCUAAGGCGCGUACACACCGCCCGUCACCCUCUGCAAACAA